rnacentral:rRNA from 1 species
AGAGUUUGAUCCUGGCUCAGGAUGAACGCUGGCGGUAUGCCUAACACAUGCAAGUCGUACGAGAGUUUUUAACUCUAGUGGCGGACGGGUGAGUAACACGUAAGAAUUUACCUUCAGGAGGGGGAUAACAAUUGGAAACAAAUGCUAAUACCCCAUAUGCUUUCGAGUGAAAUGGAUUUAUAUUUAUCCNCCUAAAGAGAAGCUUGCGUCUGAUUAGCUUUGUUGGUAAGGUAAAAGCUUACCAAGGCGACGAUCAGUAUCUGGUUUGAGAGGACGAUCAGACACAC